rnacentral:lncRNA from 1 species
UAAAAUAUAACAGAAAUUUUUUGGACUUGGGCCUCUCUCAUUUGAGCCCACAGGUCCACAAAAAUCAGGUUAUAAAUUCAGAGUUUCAGUGAAACAAAAGGGAAUUUUAUUCCUAUUACCCUGGCAGGAAAAAAGAUAGUGAGAGAAGAGCUAACAGAGUUCAGAGCAACCUCCAGAGACUGAAGGGAACUCAUCGGCAAAGAACCAAUUCCCUCUCAU